rnacentral:rRNA from 1 species
UACGUACCACACGAACGUUAUUCGGAAUCACUGGGCUUAAAGGGUGCGCAGGCUGUGUAGAAAGUCGGGCGUGAAAUCCCUCGGCUCAACCGAGGAACUGCGCCCGAAACUACUGUGCUCGAGGGAGAUAGAGGUGAGCGGAACUUAGGGUGGAGCGGUGAAAUGCGUUGAUAUCCUAAGGAACACCGGUGGCGAAAGCGGCUCACUGGAUCUCUUCUGACGCUCAUGCACGAAAGCCAGGGGAGCGAACGGG